rnacentral:rRNA from 1 species
UAGGGAAUCUUCGGCAAUGGGGGGAACCCUGACCGAGCAACGCCGCGUGAGUGAAGAAGGUUUUCGGAUCGUAAAGCUCUGUUGUUAAGGAAGAACGAGUGUGAGAAUGGAAAGUUCAUGCUGUGACGGUACUUAACCAGAAAGGGACGGCUAACUACGUGCCAGCAGCCGCGGUAAUACGUAGGUGGCAAGCGUUGUCCGGAUUUAUUGGGCGUAAAGCGAGCGCAGGCGGUCAAUUAAGUCUGAUGUGAAAGCCCCCGGCUCAACCGGGGAGGGUCAUUGGAAACUGGUUGACUUGAGUGCAGAAGAGGAGAGUGGAAUUCCAUGUGUAGCGGUGAAAUGCGUAGAUAUAUGGAGGAACACCAGUGGCGAAGGCGACUCUCUGGUCUGUAACUGACGCGGAGGUUCGAAAGCGUGGGUAGCAAACAGG